CCUACGGGAGGCAGCAGUGGGGAAUUUUGGACAAUGGACGCAAGUCUGAUCCAGCCAUGCCGCGUGCGGGAAGAAGGCCUUCGGGUUGUAAACCGCUUUUGUCAGGGAAGAAACGGGUUUCUCUAAUACAGAGACCUAAUGACGGUACCUGAAGAAUAAGCACCGGCUAACUACGUGCCAGCAGCCGCGGUAAUACGUAGGGUGCAAGCGUUAAUCGGAAUUACUGGGCGUAAAGCGUGCGCAGGCGGUUAUGCAAGACAGAGGUGAAAUCCCCGGGCUCAACCUGGGAACUGCCUUUGUGACUGCAUAGCUAGAGUACGGUAGAGGGGGAUGGAAUUCCGCGUGUAGCAGUGAAAUGCGUAGAUAUGCGGAGGAACACCGAUGGCGAAGGCAAUCCCCUGGACCUGUACUGACGCUCAUGCACGAAAGCGUGGGGAGCAAACAGGAUUAGAUACCCUGGUAGUCCACGCCCUAAACGAUGUCAACUGGUUGUUGGGAGGGUUUCUUCUCAGUAACGAAGCUAACGCGUGAAGUUGACCGCCUGGGGAUACGGCCGCAAGGUUGAAACUCAAAGUGUAAGUCGACGCGNGAGAGCGACGACGACGACGACGAGGAGGAGG
rnacentral:rRNA from 1 species